UCGGUUUUCUUGGAGGAAUUUCGGUCAAGAUUUCUGCCCUAAAGCUGUCCAACUAAGUUCUUGAGGAUCUCAAGAGGACUUCGAGGGAACUCCCGGCGAAGCGUCUUAGAGCUAAUUUCUCAAACUUUGACUUUUGAUACUUGGAUCUCAAGAGGACUUCGAGGGAACUCCCGGCGAAGCGUCUUAGAGCUAAUUUCUCAAACUUUGACUUUUGAUACUUGGUUUGGAAGUGGAAGUUCG